rnacentral:rRNA from 1 species
UACGUAGGUCCCGAGCGUUGUCCGGAUUUAUUGGGCGUAAAGCGAGCGCAGGUGGUUUAUUAAGUCUGGUGUAAAAGGCAGUGGCUCAACCAUUGUAUGCAUUGGAAACUGGUAGACUUGAGUGCAGGAGAGGAGAGUGGAAUUCCAUGUGUAGCGGUGAAAUGCGUAGAUAUACGGAGGAACACCAGUGGCGAAGGCGGCCUGCUGGACAUUAACUGACGCUGAGGCGCGAAAGCGUGGGGAGCAAACAGG